rnacentral:rRNA from 1 species
AUUGAACGCUGGCGGCAUGCCUUACACAUGCAAGUCGAACGAAGUCUUCGGACUUAGUGGCGGACGGGUGAGUAACACGUGGGAACGUGCCUUUAGGUUCGGAAUAACUCAGGGGAACUUGUGCUAAUACCGAAUGUGCCCUUCGGGGGAAAGAUUUAUCGCCUUUAGAGCGGCCCGCGUCUGAUUAGCUAGUUGGUGAGGUAAAGGCUCACCAAGGCUACGAUCAGUAGCUGGUCUGAGAGGAUGACCAGCCACAUUGGGACUGAGACACGGCCCAAACUCCUACGGGAGGCAGCAGUGGGGAAUCUUGCGCAAUGGGCGAAAGCCUGACGCAGCCAUGCCGCGUGGAUGAUGAAGGUCUUAGGAUUGUAAAAUCCUUUCACCGGUGAAGAUAAUGACUGUAGCCGGAGAAGAAGCCCCGGCUAACUUCGUGCCAGCAGCCGCAGUAACAC